UUCAUUAUUUGCUAAAAAAAACUAAAUAUAUACGGUUUAAUAUGACUGGAUUUGUCAUCAUCAAGAUUUAUUACCUGGUGCACUCAGUGAAUUUACCUAGUGACAUUUGUUAAAACUGAAGGAUACUGGAGUGACAAUUUUAUCAUUGUGAAUUGAAUACACGGUAGACUUCUUUUUGGCAGUUCGAAUUCGAAGUAGGCGGGCAAGUUGCUGUGCGGAUAAACAUCUCUAUAGCAUUGCAGGCGUAAAAAUUAUAAUAAUAUGUUAGUCUAAAAGUGACUAGAGUAUUAUGUUGACGAGACUUUAAGCAAAUAAUAUGAACACUGGUUUGUAUGGUGUUUUAAGUUUAAGGAAUUAACUGUGACUGUGAUCAGACUGGGUUUUUAAUUCAUUUUUGCUGAAUACCCAAAACGGUUUAAAAACAUUGAGAUACGAGUAUUUGAUUUGAAGGAUUAUUUGAAAAUAUGAUAUUAUUCUGGGCUACAAUUUUAUUAUUUCUUGAUUUAUGUCAAGCAGUAACGAAUGACGCUAGAUGUUUGGCACGUAAAGGUGGAGUUUGUCAGUUCAACAAUACACCAUGUCAAGGUACUUCCAUAGCAGGAUUAUGUGCCAGUUCAGAUGUAAGACGUUGCUGCAUAGUUUCUGAUAAUAUGGAGGGUGACCAUGAAUGUCAUGCCGCUGAUGGACGAUGUCAGUAUGCAGCACAAAGAUGUAAUAACGGCAGAUAUAUCGGGGCAAAAUGUUCUGGUGCAGUUGAAAGGAAGUGUUGCGUCAGUAAAUACACUGUAGGCUCAACAUCUCAGAAUUCAGAUAGUUGGUGUGAAGCCCGGGGAGGUGUUUGUCAGUACACAAGUAGCGCAUGCCCUGGUGGAUAUGAAAAAAAUUUAUGUCGGGGUACCAUCAAUAUACAGUGUUGUAUAGGGGGUGUUUACCAAAGUGGAUUACCUAAAAAUGGAAAUAAUGCAUCCAGUCGACAAGUAUCUCUCCUAUUACAAAUUCUCUCUUUUCUUUUUAUUUUUUAUAAAUAAAUUUGCUAUAAUAAAGUAAA